UGAUUGAAGCUUUCUUCAGUACGAAAGGACCAAGAAAGCAGGACCAAUACCAACAGCAUGUCCUCACAACAAAGUUGAAACCAACUAAAACUACUACUCCCAAAUACAACCGAAAACAACGGUUUAGUUAGGGUGGCAGAGCCAAGUAUUGCAAAAGACCUAAGAUCUUUCCAACAGAAGUGCAAAUCUUCUCCUUAACU
rnacentral:misc_RNA from 1 species